CCUACGGGUGGCAGCAGUGAGGAAUAUUGGUCAAUGGCCGGAAGGCUGAACCAGCCAUGCCGCGUGAAGGUCAGUGCCCCAUGGGCGUUAAACUUCUUUUGUGCGGGAGCAAUAAUGGUCACGUGUGGCCAGACGAGAGUACCGUACGAAUAAGCAUCGGCUAACGCCGUGCCAGCAGCCGCGGGUAUACGGGGGAUGCAAGCGUUUUCCGGAUUUAGUGGGUUUAAAGGGGGCGUAGGCUGUGAGGUCAGGCAGGGGUUAAAAGCUCCCGGUCAACGGGGUGAAGUGCCAUUGAUACUGGCUUGCUGGAGUGCGGAUGCCGUGGGAGGAAUGUGUGGUGUAGCGGUGAAAUGCAUAGAUAUCACGCAGAACACCGAUUGCGAAGGCAUCUCACGAAUCCGCGAUUGACGCUGAUGCACGAAAGCGUGGGUAUCAAACAGGAUUAGAUACCCUGGUAGUC
rnacentral:rRNA from 1 species